rnacentral:rRNA from 1 species
AGUGAACGCUGGCGGUAGGCCUAACACAUGCAAGUCGAACGGCAGCACAGUAAGAGCUUGCUCUUACGGGUGGCGAGUGGCGGACGGGUGAGGAAUACAUCGGAAUCUACUUUUUCGUGGGGGAUAACGUAGGGAAACUUACGCUAAUACCGCAUACGACCUACGGGUGAAAGCAGGGGAUCUUCGGACCUUGCGCGAUUGAAUGAGCCGAUGUCGGAUUAGCUAGUUGGCGGGGUAAAGGCCCACCAAGGCGACGAUCCGUAGCUGGUCUGAGAGGAUGAGCAGCCACACUGGAACUGAGACACGGUCCAGACUCCUACGGGAGGCAGCAGUGGGGAAUAUUGGAAAAUGGGCGCAAGCCUGAUCCAGCCAUACCGCGUGGGAGAAGAAGGCCUUCGGGUUGUAAAGCCCUUUUGUUGGGAAAGAAAAGCAGCAGGUUAAUACCCCGCUGUUCUGACGGUACCCAAAGAAUAAGCACCGGCUAACUUCGUG